AUGAAUAGUAUCUCUAUCUAUUAUCUGGCACAUAUCAAGUUAGCAAUGAAUAGUAUAUUGGCAUAUGUUGUUCAUCUUGGAUGGGAAAGAAAUAGUAAAGCAAUCAUCAUCUGUCUUUUUAUUAAAUUAAAGCUAUCAUCAGCCUGCUAUCAUUAUUUUUGGAUCCAUCCACUGGUUGUUACCAUCACUCUAGAUUUCUGCAUGCUCUCCUUACAUAAUCUCAUUAUAUUUUUUGUAUGCAUGUCAGAUAUUUUACACAGUUGUGCUGAACAUGUAGAGAAAAAGAGAAGAGUUUUGCGUGGCAAUACGAUGUCAUGCAAACAUCGCUCCAUGGUGGGUUCAAUGGCAAACCCUCCCCCCUCCCCAGAUUGUAAUCCAAAGGAAUAUAUCUAUUCUGAGGCAGAUUCAGACGUUGACCACUCCUAUUUAACCCCAAGGUGUUUGCUCUAA
rnacentral:rRNA from 1 species